rnacentral:rRNA from 1 species
UACGAAGGGGGCUAGCGUUGCUCGGAAUCACUGGGCGUAAAGCGCACGUAGGCGGAUUGUUAAGUCAGGGGUGAAAUCCUGGAGCUCAACUCCAGAACUGCCUUUGAUACUGGCGAUCUUGAGUCCGGGGGAGGUGAGUGGAACUGCGAGUGUAGAGGUGAAAUUCGUAGAUAUUCGCAAGAACACCAGUGGCGAAGGCGGCUCACUGGCCCGGUACUGACGCUGAGGUGCGAAAGCGUGGGGAGCGAACAGG